GGAGGAUCCACACACUCAACCUGUAAAGCAUUCUUGGGGUUCGAGAAUAAAUGAGGCAUAAUCAAUUUGGCUACGAAUCAGUGCAUUGUAUAGCAGCUUUUGGCAGUAGGGGUGUGCACCCCACCAAACUCCAGAAAGGGCGCGGAGAACAUUGAUACCUCUCUCGCAUUUACCAACUACAUAGUUAAGGUGAUGAAUACCAGACAUUUUGGAGUCCAAAAAUACACCAAGAAACUUCACAAAGUUGCAGCUAGGAAUAAUUUGGUCCUCAUAUUGAAGGUUGACAGCAGGAAUAGUUUGCCGACGUGUGAAGGUCACUGUACAGCUUUUAGAAGGGGAAAGAGAUAGACCAUGAUCAUCUAACCAGUCAUUCAGAUAUGCUAGAGCCUCAUUGAGUCUGUCAGCUGCUUCGUCGGUAUGAUGAGCUGUGGAGUAAAUGACCAAGUCAUCUGCAUACUGGAGGAUGCUGCAGAAAGGGGAGACAGAUUGCUCUAUAUCAUAGGUAUAUAGGUUAUAAAGAAUGGGACUAAGGACAGAGCCUUGAGGAAGGCCUCGCCAUACUGUAAGCGGAGAGUACAUAGCAUUUCCAAACCGAAUUUUAAUCGUUCUGCCCAUGAAUAGCUUAAAAAUAAUGUCGACUAUUCUCGAUGGAAUGCUCAGUUGACGCAGUUUUGCUCUGAGCAGAGGUAGUUGGACAUUAUCGUAUGCAGCGGAGAUGUCAAGAAAGCAUCCAACUAGUUGCUGUUUUUUAGUGAGUGCCAAUCUGAUAUCAGAGGUGUUCGAAGAUUUUACCCAUAGUGGCAGAUAGAGCUAUGGGGCGAUAAGAAGUGGAUUGCUGCGGGUCCUUGCCUGGCUUCAAGAUUGGGAUUACAAUCUGUGACUUCCAAUCCUCUGGGAC